rnacentral:rRNA from 1 species
GACGAACGCUGGCGGCGUGCUUAACACAUGCAAGUCGAACGGAAAGGCCCUGCUUUUGUGGGGUGCUCGAGUGGCGAACGGGUGAGUAACACGUGAGUAACCUGCCCUUGACUUUGGGAUAACUUCAGAAAACUGGGGCUAAUACCGGAUAGGAGCUCCUGCUGCAUGGUGGGGGUUGGAAAGUUUCGGCGGUUGGGGAUGGACUCGCGGCUUAUCAGCUUGUUGGUGGGGUAGUGGCUUACCAAGGCUUUGACGGGUAGCCGGCCUGAGAGGGUGAACGGCCACAUUGGGACUGAGAUACGGCCCAGAAUCCUACGGGAGGCAGCAGUGGGGAAUAUUGCACAAUGGGCGGAAGCCUGAUGCAGCAACGCCGCGUGCGGGAUGACGGCCUUCGGGUUGUAAACCGCUUUCGCCUGUGACGAAGCGUGAGUGACGGUAAUGGGUAAAGAAGCACCGGCUAACUACGUG